GUGGGGAAUCUUCCGCAAUGGACGAAAGUCUGACGGAGCGACGCCGCGUGAGUGAAGAAGGCCUUCGGGUCGUAAAGCUCUGUCAUCAGGGACGAACGGCCGGUGGAGUGGAAAGCCACCGGAUUGACGGUACCUGAGAAGGAAGCCACGGCUAACUACGUGCCAGCAGCCGCGGUAAUACGUAGGUGGCAAGCGUUGUCCGGAAUUAUUGGGCGUAAAGCGCGCGCAGGUGGGAUCUUAAGUCCAUUUUGAAAGUUCGGAGCUCAACUCCGUGAUGGGAUGGAAACUGGGAUUCUUGAGUACCGGAGAGGAAAGCGGAAUUCCCCGUGUAGCGGUGAAAUGCGUAGAUAUGGGGAGGAACACCAGUGGCGAAGGCGACUUUCUGGACGAUGUCUGACGCUGAGGCGCGAAAGCUAGGGGAGCGAACGGGAUUAGAUACCCCUGUAGUCC
rnacentral:rRNA from 1 species